rnacentral:rRNA from 1 species
UACGAAGGGGGCUAGCGUUGCUCGGAAUUACUGGGCGUAAAGCGCACGUAGGCGGUCUUUAAGUCGGGGUGAAAUCCUGGAGCUCAACUCCAGAACUGCCUUCGAUACUGGAAGACUUGAGUCCGGGAGAGGUGAGUGGAACUGCGAGUGUAGAGGUGAAAUUCGUAGAUAUUCGCAAGAACACCAGUGGCGAAGGCGGCUCACUGGCCCGGUACUGACGCUGAGGUGCGAAAGCGUGGGAGCAACAGG